UUACUGUCUUGCUUAGGAUGGCCAUACUCUUGGGCUGUUUCCUUUGUGACAAAUGCUAGUACUAUUUUUGUCCAUAAAAUACUUUAACUUAAAUAGAUCGGCAUGAACGGUUCAAAUUUAUAUGAUCGAUCCCAACUUACUUUUAAAACGUUCAAUAAAUCCUUCAUAUUCUUUCUUUUCUUCGUUAAUCUUUAGUGUGAAUAUCCGUAUAUGAUAAGCUAGGUUAUUUGAAUUCUUCAAAAGUGUUGUUGCAUAUGUAUUGGAUCCUCCAUGCUAUUUUUGGAGGAUCUAUACGCCGAAUGACAUUUUUAGAAAAUUCGAACAACAUAAAUGUCAUAUACUGUAUUCAAAGAAUCAACUUUGAAUGUCUGAAGAAAUCCCUUUAAAUUAAUCAUGCUUCUUAAAGAUUGCGUAUAUGGUGUUCGUAACACGCAGCGUAAGACAAUAACAAUCCUAGGUAGAUUUUUCAUGUUUUAAAAUUUAUUUACUUGUCAAAGAUCGGGUCUAAGACGUACCUGGUGAAGAG
rnacentral:lncRNA from 1 species